rnacentral:rRNA from 1 species
UACAGAGGUCCCAAGCGUUGUUCGGAUUCACUGGGGGUAAAGGGUGCGUAGGUGGUGAGGUAAGUCGGAUGUGAAAUCUCCGGGCUCAACCCGGAAAUGGCAUUGGAAACUACCUUGCUGGAGGAUUUGAGGGGGGAUUGGAAUACUUGGUGUAGCAGUGAAAUGCGUAGAUAUCAAGUGGAACACCAGUGGCGAAGGCGAAUCCCUGGAAAAUACCUGACACUGAGGCACGAAAGCUAGGGGAGCAAACAGG